CAUGGAGAUUACAGCAUUGCUCACGUUUUAUCGUUUACUUAUCUAUAUAUCAUGUUCAGAGAGAUGCAGGAACCGGUAUUGUCCACCGACAAAAGUAAGCUUUCUGGUCUGUCUUAGCCAAAGUGUUUUUACCGAGGUGUGACAAAUUUCUCACCACAAAAGUCACUCAAGUGCAGACUCAAGAAGAGUUUUGAGGGAAAAUUUGCAUGCCUUUAAUGCCUCUACAAAGCUGUAACUCCUAUUAUAUAAGCAAUUUUAUCACUCCAAUUCCUAAGCCUGCUUCGAGGAGAAAGCACCGCCAGCAACAACAUGAUUUGCUUUCAGGUAAAGAUUAAUACUCACUUAGUCGAGUCGAGCUCAGAGUAUUGCUUUCUUCAAGCUAAAUUUAUUGUUUCACACACGCAUAGAAUAGCGUGGCAAAAGCCCAAUGAAAUUGGAUAGGUCCCGCAUUCGGGAGGUUAUGUGUGAUUCAGCCCUGAGCACGUACUCAGUAGAUCUUUCACCUCGACCACAAGAGGUGGACUAGAGCUCCUGCAAGAAACCUUCUUAUAGGUUGUACAGAAGCGCAUGAAGGUCACGGAAAAUAUUUGGCCAUACUUUUAUUUGCUUUUACUCUUCCAAAGUAUCAAUGCCGUUAGAGUAGCAACACGGAUAUAAGUGCAUGGAAGAACCAUUUCAAAGUAAACGAUGAGGUUCACAUAUAUCAUUGCUUUUAACUUCUAGUCACCAUAGAUGGAGCUUGCAUUCUAAACAAACCUUGAACACAGCCCCUUGAACUGUCUCAUUAUCAUCAUCAGCAGCAGCAGCCUGGUUGCGCCCAUUGCGGGGCAAAGGCCUCUCCCAUACUUCUCCAACUACCCCGGUCAUGUACUAAUUGCGGCCAUGUUGUCACUGCAAACUUCUUAAUCUCAUCUGCCCACCUAACUUUCUGGCGCCCUCUGUUAGGCUUCCCUUCGCUUGCGAUCCAUUCUGUAACUCUAAAAGACCAUCGGUUAUCUUCCCUCCUCAUUACGUGUCCUGCCCAUGCCCAUUUCUUUUUCUUGAUUUCAACUAAGAUAUCAUUAACUCGUGUUUGUUCCCUCAUCCAAUCUGCUCUUUUCUUAUCGCUUAACGUUACACCUAUCAUUCUUCUUUCCAUGGCUCGUUGCGUCGUCCUCAAUUUAAGUAGAACCCUUUGGAAGCCUCCAGGUUUCUGCCCCGUACAUCAGUACUGGUAAGACAGAGCUGUUAUAAACUUUUCUCUUGAGGGAUUCCUCCAAUUUCUCUAAUUCCUCCAAUAGCACUGCUAAACUCGCCUCACUAGAUCACGUUCUAGCGUUAAACGUUGCCAGGUUCAUAUUACAAUGUCGGCCUGUCCGGAGGUGUGUCGCAGGUCUGACCACCGCCCUGGUCAGUUGCUUCGCAGCUGCUGGGGACUGAGGGCCCGGGUUUGAUUGUUGUGUUCAUAUAGGAGGUUGCGGCCAAGUACUGCACCAGGGUGGCCAAUCCUGUUCUGGUGAGGGAGUGCGUUGCCGGUUCUCGUCGCCGUGAUCAGGCCACACUCCAGGCCGGCUUAUGCAACUUCAUCAACACGCAGAUUUUUUUUAUCGGGUGGAAAAUUACGCGGCUCCGGGAUUCGAACCAUGGACCUCUUGCACGCGAGGCGGGUGUUCUACCUCUACGCCAGCGCUGCACCACCUUCUGUGCACUGUCUAAAUCACCUUAUCUUAAAUGUAGGUUUGUCCCGUUGUCCGAGGCACAGUUGCGGCUGCAAAGAGAAAGUUACUUGUUUGCAUCUUGGAAGAUCCUGCAUAUGCAAGUGCGCGACAAAAUACGAGCACUGUUCGCGUCCUUGGAAAUCUACUUGCCCCGUCGUCUAUUGCCGUGGUGAACACACAAGAAGGUGUUUGUGCACAUGCGUUAAUCCGCCACCUAGCCAUUCCCCGAGCCGGCCCUGCUGUAACCAAGCAAACCAAGUACCCAGACCAUAUCCAAGUUCACCUUGUUGCCAGAACGGGGCCACAACCGCCGAAACUCCGGCUCAACGCCAGCCCUGCUGUAAGCCAAUUGUUGGGGAACGUUGAUUUGUCGAAGAAAAUGCAACAAGAAAUUUCAA